rnacentral:rRNA from 1 species
AGUGAACGCUGGCGGCAGGCCUAAUACAUGCAAGUCGAACGGCAGCACAGCAGAGCUUGCUCUGUGGGUGGCGAGUGGCGGACGGGUGAGGAAUACGUGGGAAUCUGCCCAGUCGUGGGGGAUAACGUAGGGAAACUUACGCUAAUACCGCAUGCGCCCUUCGGGGGAAAGCCGGGGACCUUCGGGCCUGGCGCGAUUGGAUGAGCCCACGUCGGAUUAGCUAGUUGGCGGGGUAAAGGCCCACCAAGGCGACGAUCCGUAGCUGGUCUGAGAGGAUGAUCAGCCACACUGGAACUGAGACACGGUCCAGACUCCUACGGGAGGCAGCAGUAGGGAAUAUUGGACAAUGGGCGCAAGCCUGAUCCAGCCAUGCCGCGUGAGUGAAGAAGGCCCUCGGGUUGUAAAGCUCUUUGUCCGGAAAGAAAGCGCCGGGUUAAUACCCUGGUGUCCUGACGGUACCGGAAGAAUAAGCACCGGCUAAACUUCGUGCCAGCAGCCGCGGUAAU